CACGGGUGCCGUCAGCACUGUAAUGUGUCAUGUGCACCUGCAAGCUCUGUGAUGCUUUUGACAAUUAGCCUAUUGAUGUGCAAUAGUAUCUUGUUACGUACAAGCUUCGUAAUACGUCUCUACCUAAAAUCUGAUUAGCCUGAGGAUAAAUUGCGUUAAUUUCUUCGCUUAUUCGCGGAUAGAACGAAACCGACGUGCUUUCUUCUUUAGUCUUCCCAUAUGCCAAUUCAAACAGUGAAAGAAUUCAGAUGGGCGUAACUCUAAAUGGAUCAUGCACACAGACUUUGGAACAAUAACUCAUCAAUUCACGACGAGACGCCCUUUAAGCGCGAGCUGCUUGAGUUUCUGCACACGUCCACGCAUGGGGACCAACGACAGACUCGAUCAUAGUAGUCUUCGGAAUAGUAGCACUGGAUGCUUGGCAGGAAUCUGGAGAACAAGUUGUGCACUUGAGCGUCAAAAGCCAAUGGCUGUUUGUAACUAAUUGACACCGGUACUUUUCGUGACGCGAUUCUCGGGAAUAGUUCGUGGUUUGAACAAAUGCAUUGCUACAAAGCCCUCUGCCUUUCCAAGUUUUUGACAUUUGCUUGUGGAUUAGAUACUAUGGUGUUAUGGAUCACCUCAAGUUUGGCACUCAGAGAUGAGAGGUCAUCAUUGUCCACUGAGAGGAAAAGGAGACCUUGGAAAUCAGUGAUAAAACACGGAAAUGAACUGACCUCGGAUCAGG